rnacentral:misc_RNA from 1 species
AGUACAUCGAUAACGGUACCAAGUCGUAUUUAAACUAUAUGAUCAUGAGCCCUUAAUAACUUUUAUUUUGCCAAGGGUCUCUUAUUAUAUAGUUGAAAUCACACAUCUUUCAAUAUGGCUUCUGACCAAUAAUAUUGCCUCUAGGAUCAUAGUUGCAAAUGAUGAACGCACCACCGUUAUUUAUGCACUUCACUUUUGCGCAUCCAAGUCUAGCUGAGUUCUUCCAAACCACUUGAGUAUAAUGCCCGCACACCUUUCCAGAGACACAUGAAUUGGUGUCGUACUUGUAGUAUUGCUUCUCAUUCACCCAAAGCUUGACUGCAUUGAUGCCUGUCAAGUCAGGGCUACCCCAUGCAAGAUUCUCUCCGUAAGGCCCGUUUGAAUGUAUCAACUUACAGUCGCCCUUGCGUUCGUUGGCAUAUUGUUUGGAAUAAUUUGCCACCUUUUCGUCCCAUUUGAGAGGUCCGACACCAACUUGGGCACGAGCAGCGUUGUGGGCAUUGAGGAAGUCUUGAGGCGAGUUUUGAGCGAGAGAGGAAGGAAGCAUAGUGAAACUCAUCAAGACACAAAAUAGAAUGAAGGAGAGCUUGAGGAGAUCCAUUUUUCUUUUUUGUUCUAAUUUUUGAGUUAGAGAAUUAUGAGAAGUAUUGGU